AUUGAACGCUGGCGGAAUGCUUUACACAUGCAAGUCGAACGGCAGCACGGACUUCGGUCUGGCGGCGAGUGGCGAACGGGUGAGUAAUGUAUCGGAACGUGCCCAGUCGUGGGGGAUAACGUAGUGAAAAUUACGCUAAUACCGCAUACGAUCUAUGGAUGAAAGGGGGGGAUCGCAAGACCUCGCGGGAUUGGAGCGGCCGAUAACAGAUGAGAGAGUUGGUGGGGUAAAGGCCCACCAAGCCAACGAUCUGUAGGUGGUCUUAGAGGACGACCAGCCCCACUGGAACUGAGACACGGUCCAGACUCCUACGGGAGGCAGCAGUGGGGAAUUUUGGACAAUGGGCGAAAGCCUGAUCCAGCCAUUCCGCGUGCAGGAUGAAGGCCCUCGGGUUGUAAACUGCUUUUGUACAGAACGAAAAGGUUUCUACUAAUACUAGGAGCUCAUGACGGUACUGUAAGAAUAAGCACCGGCUAACUACGUGCCAGCAGCCGCCGCCG
rnacentral:rRNA from 1 species